CAACCCUCAGGCCCCCCAGGGCGUGCCUGGUGUUGGGGAUCGGCGGCUGGGUGGGAUGGUCUCUCCUCCUUGGGGAAGCCGCCCGCCCGCACCCGCCGCCCCCGAAAUGAACUGGCGGUCUCGUCGCGGCCUCCUCUGCGUAGUAGCACACAACAUCGCAGCAGGGAGCGCGGCGCGGCCACUGCCGUAAAACGCACCAAGACUCCUCAG
rnacentral:misc_RNA from 1 species